UGACUGCCCUAGUCUCCCCCUUGCUAUGGCAAAGGACAAAUGGGUGGAGUUGCUUUAGGUGUUGUGCUCGGGCUCACGAAUUCAUAGACAUGUGAUGAGUCCAAAUCGGAAUUAAAACAAAAACGUUUUGGUCAACAAAAUUACAGUGGCGCAAUCAUAAUUUUUGCGAAGUUCAAAUUUAAAUACCCAGCUCUCUCUCUCUCUCCUCCAGCAGCGACUCUUUCUCUCUCUCGUUUCUCUCUCUUCGCGCAAACAGACCAGCCGCUUUAGAAGGCGAAUUCUCCCAACUCCAGCGACCGUUUCAGGCGAGACCGGUCCCAAAAUCUUCGUCUCGACGUCCUCCUUCUAGCCUAGUCAUUUUCACAGCUUGAAAACCCAAGGAUUUUGGGCUGGAACGACGUGAAGUUUCGGCUGAAACUUCCACCGUCGCCAUCGCCGGCUCCGGCCACCUCAGGCCCCGCCAUCACGUGGAUCAGGUUCGUCCCCUCUCCCUCUUCCUUUUCCCUAGGUUGCGCGACACCAUGGUUGGCCAUAGAGGGCAGCCUGAGCGCAAAAAAUUCAUGAGAUGUAUAGAGGGAGAGAGACAGAGAGACAGAAAGACAGAGAAGAAGAGAAGGAAAUCAUAAGAGAUUAGCUAGAAAAUAGUAUUAGAAUGAAGUAAAGGCAACAGCAAACCUGCUGAGUGUUUGAAAAUGCAUCUCCUCCAUUCAGGCAGACAUACAAUCCUGUCAUAGAGCGGAGAAGAGCACGCAGGUCUAUCCCACAUGAUUAUAUCUCAGCACCAAGCUUUAAAUAUACAAUAUAUUUAUAGAAACAAAUAUAUGUAACUGAACCUCAAGCUCAAGGCCAAGUGGACUGUUCAAUUCAGUCCUUUGCACUGUGAUCUGGUCAUGGUCACAAAGUCAAGGAAGAUGCAGUAACACAAAGCCCCUCACCCCAACCCCACAAAGGGAAAUUAGAGAUAGAAGGAAAUAGUGAUCUGAUCUGAUGCACAAAGACUAGCACAUUACUUUGAACAAAUAAAUGAACUUUUUGUCAAUGGAGAACUCCUGUGCUUCCUUAAGAUUUACAACCUGUUACAGGACAUUUGCCCUGUAACUUAUCAACUCUUGAGGUGCUUUCUGCAUCUUCUAAUUAUUUGAAUGGGAGCAUUCCAGAUAUUUUCAGCCAGCUGACAGAAUUAACAGAGAUUUGAUUCGCGGGCAAUUCUCUGUCUGGUAUGAUUCCACCCUCCAUCUUCAAUCUGUCUUCUCUCAUAAGAUUUUCUCUGCAACCAAAUGAAAUCCAAGUAUCAAUAUCUAAUGCCUCAAGUCGAGGUCAUCUAGGAAUGCAAGGAAACAGCCUACAUUGUAAAGUCCCAUCUUUGGCAAAUUUGCACAAGCUUGAGAGAUUUUCUCUUACCUCCAACAAUCUAGGAAGUGGGAGACUUAAUGACUUGAGCUUUAUCUGACACCUAGGCAUUAAUAUGAACAAUUUUUGGGGUUUCUUACCUGAAUGCACAGCACUCUUGCACGGUUCUACGUAAGUGACAAUAAAUUAGUAGGAAGACUCCCAAAUGGGAUUGGAAAUUUAGUUAACUUGGAGAGCCUAUUUCUGUCUAUGAACCAAUUUCAGGUUUAACAUAUUUUCUUCUUGUUGAUCAAGCUCAGGUAUUAAAAAUCGA